UAGGCUAGACAGCUCAAAAUUUUCUGUUUGUACUUACGAGGCAGCAGUAUUUGACAGAAAAUAAUAAUACUUUGAUGCUCUUCUCACGCCUACAAGCGAAGGCGGCGUGAUUAACAACACAGCGUAAUGCGCAACGGUGAACGCCAACGAACUCCACCACCAACCUGGACGAAGCAUUUUGGACUGAAGCUGCCUCGAUAUCUACAAUACAUUGGAUACUACGUGCAGGAUAAUGAAUGGCUACCUGAACGAUGCUUGAAGCGGCAAGCUCUACAGUAUCACUUAUGCUCCUUUCCAUGGGUUGGCAAGAGGAACCGUGGCACACAGCUCCACAGGCACCUGUGCUCUUCACUACCUUCGGAGAAGAUGCAUUGGAUGCUCCCUAUCAUGCACUGCCAUCUCAACAGUACCAUGGCUUUUUGUGUGGAUUCCUUCCAUUUUGAAUGCCACCACUGCUUGCACAGCAUCACAGCCUGCCUGCCUUGAUCUUGCGGAAGAAGAAAAUACAAAAUGCCUAUUUUUUUAAAUGCGUGCAUGGCUCCACGCAAGACACCACCUGGCGUCGGGGUGUUAGGGCUUUUUGCAGAGAAAAUGUUUGUAAUAAUGCCUUGUGUGUGCCCUAGUGGCUAAAUGUUGGCCUCUUUGCCUGUGUAAAAAUUUCACACUUAUGGAUACUGUUAAGGGUUCCUGUAUUAUUGUUAUUACUUACAGUUUCCUGUUCAGGAUUCCUGUAUUGGAAAUUUUUGUUUCAUUAUAAAACUAAAAAUUAUAGUUGAAUUGCUGCUUUGUGUGAUAUGCAAUAUUCAGCCGAAGGUGGUCAGCAGAGGUCGAACAAGCGUUAUAUCAGGUGGAGAAAUUUUUUUGAGCAGGGGACUUCUUCGUUAGGGUAACAACUGUUUUCCUUGGCAUUAUUUAUAUAGUUCACUUUUCUCCACUUCAUGGAUAUCCAGCAAAAUGACUGAGUGCAUAGGGAGGGUGAGGCAAGUUUAAAUGCUCAACAUGGGGAUUUAGUUAGGAUAGCAAGGUGUGUAGAAGUAGGGGAGUUUGGGAGGUUGCUGACACCGAUUUCUAUGAGUGAUCUUGUUGUUUGUGUCAAUGUCGGUUAUAUAAUGCGAGGCGUCUUCUGAGGCAAGAAACUUUGAAAAAGCUCCUUAUAGCUGUGGAAAUUCAGUACGUGCCCCCUGGGGCUACCAUGGGUGUGUCACUGUGGCCAUUGGUUAUCACUUGGGGCCACUGGGUAGAUGCAGCUCUUCAACGAACUUUUUUGACACAAACUUGUGUAUGUACACUGGGUGUGUGCCACUGCAUGUGUGCCACUCUUUAAUGGACCUCUUUGAUGCUGACUUAGGUCAUGGGGCAUCACAACAAGAACCUACGUAGUGGCAUCUGUGUAUGCAUGUAAGUGAGCUGAAAUUGUUUGCUUGGAUUUUCUUUCCCUGACGACUAGUCCCCUUGUUGAAUUUACUUCAGCCUGAGAUAUCACCUGUUUGACUACUGUUAUCACAUUAUGCCCCAUUUUGCUGUGAACUUGUCAUGUUCUCUAGCUGGCAAGCUUGAAUUUCAGGUACUGCACAGUGCUAAGGAAAUUGAUUCAGAGUGGGUGGUACUACCUCGGCUUUUCUUUGCAGCUGCGUGUUACAUGAGAGAAUAAGUUGUAUGUAGAUGUCUAUUAGAAAUAGCAUAGGUAUUCAAAAGUACUUUCAUUAUGUUCUAGGUCAUUGGUGCUGUCUGGCCUCCUUUGCAUCAUUUUUUGUAGCAUGCUUGUUUACGUGCAAAAACAAAUGUGGCCUGUUCUAAUGCCUGCAAGGACUGCCCAAUAGCUCAUGAUGUUUUGAGCCACUCAAUUUCAGUCUUGGCUGCACUUGUGGAUUUUCAACAUCACUGAAGCUUGCAAUAUGCUUGAAUUUCCUGCCAAACUGGUUUGCUUGUUUGUAUCCAAUUUAUUGAAUUAUUUCACUUUCAUUAUGCUAAUAGUCAUUGAUUGUAAUAUUAUGCUGGCACAUUUGAUUCUGGAACUGUAAUAAAUUUCCAGACAUUUUAUUGCUUUGUCAUAAUUUUUGCACCUCGUUAGACACAAUCUACUAAACACACAAAAAACUCCCUUCAACCUCGUAAAAUUCCCAAAAGGUGCAUAAUAAACUCCCGACCUACCUGUAAAAGCUCUAAUAAAGAGCUAAAAUGCACUCCCAAAACAUCUGUUUAAAACUCCCUUAAUAAAACAGCUCCCUAAAGCUGUAAAAAUUAACUCCCAAACAUUCUCUUAUAUAUUCCCAUAAAAAGCAAAAAUUCAACUCUCAAAAUUAACCAUAAUUGCUCCCUUAAGCAAAGCUCCCAAAAUAUGGGAACAGUUGCUCCCAUGUUUACACCUAAGCACUCCUACAAGGAGGCAAAAUAAUUUCCCAAAGGUCUCCUUCAACACUCCCUUAAGAAGCCAAACGUUUCCGAAAAUGUACGUAAGGACUCCCAUCGUUUCUCCUAUAAAUUCCCAUAAGCAGCAAAAUAAAAUACCCAUGUCAACUUGUAAAAGCUCCCAAAGCUCCUCAUAAAAAGUUCCAUAGUGCUGGUGUCCAAAAGAGGAAUGAAAAACUCCCAACGUUCCCCAUAAAGACUCCUGCAACCGCUCAGGGGUUGGUGUUUAAAGGAGAAUUCAAAAACUCCCAUAAUUCCCCA